rnacentral:rRNA from 1 species
AGUGAACGCUGGCGGCGUGCCUAAUACAUGCAAGUCGAACGGAGAUUAAGUAGCUUGCUAUUUAAUCUUAGUGGCGCACGGGUGAGUAAUAUAUAGCUAACUUGCCCAUUACUAAGGGACAACAGUUGGAAACGACUGCUAAUACCUUAUACUCCGUAUCUAUAUAAGUAGAUACGGGAAAGUUUUUCGGUAAUGGAUAGGACUAUAUCGUAUCAGCUAGUUGGUAAGGUAAUGGCUUACCAAGGCUAUGACGCGUAACUGGUCUGAGAGGAUGAUCAGUCACACUGGAACUGAGACACGGUCCAGACUCCUACGGGAGGCAGCAGUAGGGAAUAUUGCUCAAUGGGGGAAACCCUGAAGCAGCAACGCCGCGUGGAGGAUGACACUUUUCGGAGCGUAAACUCCUUUUCUUGGGAAAGAAUUAUGACGGUACCCAAGGAAUAAGCACCGGCUAACUCCGUG